UUUCAUCCCCCAUAGGCCAUACAUCCACUCAGCGCUCCACGGCUCCACCGAGACGGAGAGAUUUUAAUUCCCACCCCAUGAUAUACGAUAUAACGUCUUCUACUAGUUUAUAGAGCAUCUUAUACAGCCACAAGAACCAUUUUUUAUUUAUAUAUAUAUUUAUUGAACGAAUAAAGCAGUUCAAAUGGCUUCAGUAAGCUUAUAUAGCAGUCCUCUUCUUGCCUAUUUCACAUUACUCUCCCAGCAGUUGUUGCAUCAAAACUCAAGCUUUGGCUCUGAACAAUCUCGCUUUCUUUCUUCCAAUUCGGUUUUGAGGUUCAAAAGGCAAAUUCUGGUGUCAACCGUUCAAUUCAAGAAGUUGACGAGCCCCAGACCUCCUCAGGUUGUACCCACUGUUCUGUCUGCACAAUCCAAUUUCCUUAAAGUUGUUCGAACAGUAUGGAAGGUUGGGAUGGAUGGAAUUGAAGCAGGAACUAAUCUUGUGCCUGGAGCUAUCCCAAGGCCGCUAGCAAGAAUUGCAGUAACUGUAGUUGCUCUGUCUAUAUCACUCAUUGUACUCACGUCCUUCCUGUCUACUGCCUUCACCGUGCUGGUAUGCUUUCAUUCUGUUUUGUAUCUCUUUUCUUUCUUUUAUUUUUUUUUAAUUUCACUAUGCCAUUUAUUUGUUACUGUUGCUUCUUUAUUCUCAGGACUACCACUAAAUUUUGUUAAAGCUGUCAAAGUUGAAAUGUAUACUGAAUUCAACAUUUAAUCAGCUAACGGAAUUCCACUUGUUUGUGGGGAUAUGCGGUGUGUUAACUUGCUCAAUAUGCUACUAAACCCUGGGCGAUGAUGGGACUCAUUUACUUUACGUUCAUAGCAUUGAAUAAAGAUGAAGGCCCGAAAGGAGAUGGAGGUACUACCUCUGUGGAAGACAGUCUUGAAGAAGCAAGAAAAAUAAUGGAGAAGUACAAGUAACUGAAGCACGACCAAAGAUGUUGGUUCAGUCCUUCCAGAGAAUUUUUAGCAUACCUUUCUCAGAUGAGGAGCUUUCGUAUCUGAAGAUGUACUCCUUCUUCUUCAUUCACAUGCACUUGGUGACGUGUAAAUAUGUGCGUAAUAGCAUAGUUUUGAAGUUACUCAUUCAAGUUUUCGAAAUGUGUACUUAUUAUUCUGUAGUUGUCUUGUGCUAAUAGCUCGGCGGCUGCUAAUUGUCCCAACUCA